rnacentral:rRNA from 1 species
UACGUAGGGGGCAAGCGUUGUCCGGAUUUAUUGGGCGUAAAGAGCGUGUAGGCGGCUAGGUAGGUGGGUUGUGAAAACUGGAGGCUCAACCUUCAGACGUCGACCCAAACCCCCUGGCUAGAGUCCGGAAGAGGAGAGUGGAAUUCCUGGUGUGGCGGUGAAAUGCGCAGAUAUCAGGAAGAACACCCGUGGCGAAAGCGGCUCUCUGGAACGGUACUGACGCUGAGACGCGAAAGCGUGGGGAGCGAACAGG